GACCUACAUCCACAAGCAAUAUUAUUCACUUGCAUUCUCCUACAUCGCAGCUGAAAGCCCACAUUGUGUGCCAUUAUUUCUUGUUGCGUCAACUUUAGUCGUGCUGCACCAAGAUUGUGUGACCACGGCCCGGAAACAGUAAGUGCAUGUACAACGGAAAGCAAGGCACCCCUCUCUCUAUUCCUGAAUUUUGAAUUUCAUUUUUACACACGAAAGCACAGCUAUUUGUUUUUAGAGUGUCAGGAACAGCACUUCCAUAAGCAACAAACAGCACUUUCAGGCCACAUAGAAAUGCAUAUGAGAGGGGAAGGUAGCUCAUUCGUAUAUGGGCUUACAACCAAAGAGGAGAAGGUAUGCAGUGCAGUUUAACUAGCUAACAGCCUGUAAAAAGCGCACACCAGUUUCAAGCAAUGCCUUCCUGCCAACUGAAAAGACACCCAAUAAAAUCUUGAGACUUCUCAAAUAAAAAAA